UACGAAGGGGGCUAGCGUUGCUCGGAAUUACUGGGCGUAAAGGGCGCGUAGGCGGCACUGUUAGUCAGGCGUGAAAUUCCUGGGCUCAACCUGGGGACUGCGCUUGAUACGGCAGAGCUUGAGGAUGGAAGAGGGUCGCGGAAUUCCCAGUGUAGAGGUGAAAAUUCGUAGAUAUUGGGAAGAACACCGGUGGCGAAGGCGGCGACCUGGUCCAUUACUGACGCUGAGGCGCGAAAGCGUGGGGAGCAAACAGG
rnacentral:rRNA from 1 species